CCUACGGGAGGCUGCAGUCGAGAAUCAUUCACAAUGGGGGAAACCCUGAUGGUGCGACGCCGCGUGGGGGAAUGAAGGUCUUCGGAUUGUAAACCCCUGUCAUGUGGGAGCAAAUUAAAAAGAUAGUACCCCAAGAGGAAGAGACGGCUAACUCUGUGCCAGCAGCCGCGGUAAUACAGAGGUCUCAAGCGUUGUUCGGAAUCACUGGGCGUAAAGCGUGCGUAGGCUGUUUCGUAAGUCGUGUGUGAAAGGCGCGGGCUCAACCCGCGGACGGCACAUGAUACUGCGAGACUAGAGUAAUGGAGGGGGAACCGGAAUUCUCGGUGUAGCAGUGAAAUGCGUAGAUAUCGAGAGGAACACUCGUGGCGAAGGCGGGUUCCUGGACAGUAACUGACGCUGAGGCACGAAGGCCAGGGGAGCGAAAGGGAUUAGAUACCCGAGUAGUC
rnacentral:rRNA from 1 species